GCAAACAUUUUAACAGUUCAUUAACUAUAGUAAUGCGCAUACGGAGGAGUGCAGGAAAUUAUAACGACAGAGAUUGAUGAAUUGUCACAAAGAGAACACUCUCAUGGAAUCAGUACCCAGGUCAAGAAACAGAACAAUGUAACACUUUCGUGCCCCCUUCCAGUCACCACCCCCAGGGGUGACCACCAUGCUGACUUCUAAAUAGGUGACAGGAUUAUUCAAGUUAAUUUUGUAUGGCAUGUGGACCAGCUCUUGUUUUUCCAGUACUUUAAUUUCCAGUUCUUUCUUGUUUUUCUUCAACAUCAAAUCUCUGAAGGCCGCCCUUUCCAGUUAAUCCUUUUCCUACGGAACCCCUGGCUUCCCAAGAUACCUACCUCUGUUCCUGCAGACUUUCAAUCUCCUUCCUUGUGAUUCUCAGUAGCCAGUGCCCUAAUCCGCCACGUCUCACUUAUUAAUUCCCAAAUGUGGUGCUCAUAUUCUCAACUCCAUACCUUUGCUUUAUUCAUCCUCCAAGGCUGGCAUAUCCUUACAGCCAUUCUUUUUUUUUUUUUUUUUUUUUUUUUGGUCAGUUGGAUUGUCCACUGCAAUUAAGCUGUGCAAGAGCAAAAUAAAAUUUGUUUGUUUGUUUGUUUGUUUCUCUAUAACUAUCUCAUGCUCUGCAGGAACCUCUACCCUUCUAGGUAAUAGGAAAGAAAAAGAUAACUAAGUACAUAAUCCACCUUCAAUCUUAGCCCCAGUAGUAAUUUUUCUAGAGUCUCUGUAGGUAAACCUGUCUUUAAUGGUGAUUGUUGAGCCUCUCUAAUUUCCAUUUCCUGUCCCCUGCUUGUCUUUAGAUAGUGGCUGGCUGUGUGGAGUGGGCACAGCGCUUGCUCUCAUGAGCCGGUCCCUGGAUCUACAUCAAGAUGGUGCCUGGAUCUGUGGAUGGACUCUGGUCCUACCUUGGCCCCUGCUGCACUGAAGCUCCUGGCAUUUCCAGGGAGCCUUGCCCCUGUGUGUUAUUGGCCUGUUUUUCUGAUGUCUGCAGCCUGACAAACAUGUCACCUGGUCUUUCUCAGCUGGGUGGCUCCUCUUUGUUGAUUCAAUGCCUCCUGGUCUUGCACCCACUCCCCGACUCAGAUACUCUGCUUGGGCUCUUCCAGGAGAUCAGUGUGCUCUGCCAGGUCCCAGGGCAGACCUGCUGGCUCUCAGCUUGGCACUGAGGAAUGCUCUGGAGUAAACACUAGCCCUCCCCACCUGCUACAUGCUCAGCCCUCUCCCCUCUGCCGUGUUGCCUCAUGUCUCAGUCAUUUCUGAUUCCUCGUUACCUAGCAGAAUGUCUGGCACUUUUGCUCAGUAAGAUGCUUUUGAAAUUGAACUGGAUUGUGAAUUCCUUUCAGUGAGUGGUCCAUGCUUUAUUUGGCAAAUAGAUGCCAAUGACUACUAUUUUCUCGAAAUUUUAUAAAGUUAAUUAUUGAUACACCCAAAGCAGAGGGAUCUUCUGAUCCCCAAAGCCUGGCUUUCAGUGUUGUUUUAACCCUUCUAAAAUCUCAAGUUUCUCUAAUAAAAACCACGAUAGUCUGAAAUGCUGGAAUUUGGAAUUUAUGCCUUCCUAGAGUGCUGAUACCGUCUAAAUGCACAUGGUAAAUGACACUGAUUCAUGUGCUUUGUGUGGGCAGGAGUUCAAAGGCCUCAUCAGCAAAAGAUCCGGGAACUGAGAGGGAACAGCCCCCACACUCACC
rnacentral:lncRNA from 1 species